ncrna:unclassified sequences Glutamine-II riboswitch (downstream peptide RNA)
GUCCGUUCAUCCUGAUUAUAGGACGCAUGAAACCUGAUCAUGGAACGGGGGUCAGGU